rnacentral:rRNA from 1 species
GAUGAACGCUGGCGGCGUGCCUAACACAUGCAAGUCGAGCGAACGGACGAGGAGCUUGCUCCCCUGAUGUUAGCGGCGGACGGGUGAGUAACACGUGGAUAACCUACCUCUAAGACUGGGAUAACUUCGGGAAACCGGAGCUAAUACCGGAUAAUAUUUUGAACCGCAUGGUUCAAGAGUGAAAGACGGUCUUGCUGUCACUUAUAGAUGGAUCCGCGCUGCAUUAGUUAGUUGGUAAGGUAACGGCUUACCAAGGCUACGAUGCAUAGCCGACCUGAGAGGGUGAUCGGCCACACUGGAACUGAGACACGGUCCAGACUCCGACGGGAGGCAGCAGUAGGGAAUCUUGCGCAAUGGGCGAAAGCCUGACGGAGCAACGCCGCGUGAGUGAUGAAGGUCUUCGGAUGGUAAAGCUCUGUUAUUAGGAAAGAACAAAAGUGUAUGUAACCGUGAAGAUCUUGACGGUACCUAAAGAAAAAGCCCCGGCUAACUACGUG